rnacentral:rRNA from 1 species
AGAGUUUGAUCAUGGCUCAGAACGAACGCUGGCGGCGCGUAUUAAGCAUGCAAGUCGAACGGGAAUGUGGGACUUCGGUUUCACAUGAGAGUGGCGAACGGGUGAGUAACACGUAGGUGAUCUGCCCUUGGGUGGGGGAUAGCCCAUGGAAACAUGGGGUAAUACCGCAUGAGGUCUUUGGGCGUGAAGCCCAUAGAGCAAAGGAGCAAUUGCUCCGCCUGGGGAUGAGCCUGCGGUCCAUUAGCUAGUUGGUGUGGUAAAGGCGCACCAAGGCGACGAUGGAUAGCCGGCCUGAGAGGGUGAACGGCCACACUGGGACUGAGACACGGCCCAGACUCCUACGGGAGGCAGCAGCUAAGAAUCUUCCGCAAUGGGGGAAACCCUGACGGAGCGACGCCGCGUGGGCGAAGAAGGCCGCAAGGUUGUAAAGCCCUUUUCUUGACGAAGAAUAAGGCGAGGAGUGGAAUGCUUCGCUGAUGACGUUAGUCGAGGAGGAAGCCCCGGCCAAUUACGUGCCAGCAGCCGCGGUAACACGUAUGGGGCGAGCGUUGUUCGGAAUUACUGGGCGUAAAGGGUGCGCAGGCGGUUCAGCAAGCUUGGUGUUAAAUACCCCGGCCCAACCGGGGGGCUGCGCUGAGAACUGCUGGGCUUGAGUUCAGGAGGGGAAGCUGGAAUUCCUGGUGUAGGGGUGAAAUCUGUAGAGAUCAGGAAGAACACCGGUGGCGAAGGCGAGCUUCUGGCCAUGGACUGACGCUGAGGCACGAAAGCGUGGGGAGCGAACAGGAUUAGAUACCCUAGUAGUCC